rnacentral:rRNA from 1 species
AAAUUGAAGAGUUUGAUCAUGGCUCAGAUUGAACGCUGGCGGCAGGCCUAACACAUGCAAGUCGAGCGGAAACGAGUUAUCUGAACCUUCGGGGAACGAUAACGGCGUCGAGCGGCGGACGGGUGAGUAAUGCCUAGGAAAUUGCCCUGAUGUGGGGGAUAACCAUUGGAAACGAUGGCUAAUACCGCAUGAUGCCUACGGGCCAAAGAGGGGGACCUUYGGGCCUCUCGCGUCAGGAUAUGCCUAGGUGGGAUUAGCUAGUUGGUGAGGUAAGGGCUCACCAAGGCGACGAUCCCUAGCUGGUCUGAGAGGAUGAUCAGCCACACUGGAACUGAGACACGGUCCAGACUCCUACGGGAGGCAGCAGUGGGGAAUAUUGCACAAUGGGCGCAAGCCUGAUGCAGCCAUGCCGCGUGUGUGAAG